UGAUUGGAUAAUUUCCACAAACUGGCUAAAAGAAAGCGUCCGAGAAGGGCUCACCUCCCGCUCCAUCUCCUCUGUUGCCUCCUCGCGCUCUGCAGCGGCGUCUCGAUCCCCGAGGUCGUCGCCUUCUUCAACCACAUUGCCCCUUCCAUUGCUAAUUAGCUCCCUGUUAGUGAAACUGAAGAGUUUUCUAUCAGAAUCCUAUGUGCUUCUGAGCUCAUUGGUUCAGUUAUUGGGAAAAGUGGGGCUAAUGUUAGGCGGGUAGAGCAGCAGACUGGUGCUCGCAUUAAAGUUCAAGAGAUUGACAAAGAUGCUUCUGGAGAAAGGCUGAUCAUUGUUUCAUCUAACGAGAUACCAACUGAACCAAUAUCCCCAACAAUUGAGGCACUCAUUUUGCUCCAUGAUAAAGUAAGUGCACCCUCUGAGAAACACCAUUCAAGUACAACUGUACAAGGCUUGUUGUACCAUCAAACAAAGUUGGUUGUAUUCUUGGGGAAGGUGGGCAGGUGAUUACUGAAAUGAGAAGACGAACUGGGGCUGAAAUUCGAGUUUACUCGAAGGCAGAUAAACCAAAAUACUUGUCUUUUUGGUGAUGAACUUGUGCAGGUUGUAGGGCCUCCAGCUAUUGCAAGAGGAGCCCUCACAGAGAUUGCUUCAAGGCUUAGAACUAGGACUUUGAGAGAUACAAGUACUGCCAAUAAUCCUCCACCUUUUGCCCCUUCCGAUGAUCCUCCUGGAAUUCUGAACACAGUGUAUAUGAAUAUUCUGCUCGCCUCUCCUCUCCUAAAGGCCAUUUUAAAGGACGCGACUGCAGUAUAGUCAUGCUUCACUUUAACCUUAACUAUCUGAAUUUAUACUGCCUAUAGCUGGCUGGGAAAAAAGGCAUGGGUAUUUAUUUGUGAAGUUGUGACUAUCUGACCAUUCCAAGUAGUUGCUUACCUGAGAAAAUCUUGGAUGAGGACAACUGUGUUUUAUGUACUAAUAAUAGCCAGCAAACUCUGUUA